rfam:Roseovarius tolerans strain EL-164 ROTO_contig000001, whole genome shotgun sequence.
AUCGGCACGCGUGGCGAUUUGUUACCGGAUUGCGGGCCACGUUAAACACAUCCGCUAAAGAGGUCAGGAGAAAGCCCCC